CUCCAACAACAACUACAGUUGCAGCGACAACAACUACAGCUGCUCCAACAACAACCACAGCUGCUCCAACAACAACUACAGUUGCAGCAACAACAACUACAGUUGCAGCAACAACAACUACAGCUGCACCGACAACAACUACAGCUGCGACAACAACAACCACAGCUGCUCCAACAACAACUACAGUUGCAGCGACAACAACUACAGUUGCAGCAACAAAAACUACAGCUGCACCGACAACAACUACAGCUGCACCGACAACAAUUACAGCUGCGACAACAACAACAACAGCUGCUCCAACAACAACUACAGUUGCAGCAACAACAACUACAGUUGCAGCAACAACAACUACAGCUGCAACAACAACAACCACAGCUGUUCCAACAACAACCACAGCUGUUCCAACAACAACCACAGCUGCUCCAACAACAACCACAUCUGCCCCAAAAACAACCACAGCUGUUCCAACGACAACCACAACUGCAGUGACAACAACCACAGCUGAUCCAACAACAACCACAGCUGCAGCGACAACAACCACAGCUGCUCCAACAACAACCACAGCUGCUCCAACAACAACCACAGUUGUAGGGACAACAACCACAUCUGCUCGAACAACAACUACAGCUGCUCCAACAACAACCACAGUUGCAGCGACAACAACCACAUCUGCAGCGACAACAACUACAGCUGUUCCAACAACAACCACAGCUGCUCCAACAACAACCACAUCUGCCCCAACAACAACCACAGCUGUUCCAACAACAAUCACAACUGCAGUGACAACAACCACAGCUGUUCCAACAACAACCACAACUGCAGCGACAACAACCACAGCUGCUCCAACAACAACCACAACUGCAGCGACAACAACCACAACUGCAGCGACAACAACCACAGCUGUUCCAACAACAACCACAGCUGCUCCAACAACAACCACAUCUGCCCCAACAACAACCACAGCUGUUCCAACAACAACCACAACUGCAGCGGCAACAACUACAGCUGUUCCAACAACAAUCACAACUGCAGCGACAACAACCACAGCUGUUCCAACAACAAUCACAACUGCAGCGACAACAACCACAGCUGUUCCAACAACAAUCACAACUGCCGCGACAACAACAACAACACCAGCAACAACAACCACAACUGUUCCAACAACAACCAAAACUGCCGCGACAACAACUACAGCUGCUUCAACAACAACCACAACCGCAGCGACAACAACAACAACACCAGCAACAACAACCACAACUGUUCCAACAACAACCAAAACUGCCGCGACAACAACUACAGCUGCUUCAACAACCAUAACUGCAGCGACAGCAACAACCACCUCCUCUGCUAUUCUCAACAACAUCAGCUUCCUUACAGUAGUUCUGGCUCUGUCGUCACAUGUACUCAGAUCAUGUUUUUAACAUUUCUUAAGUUCACAUCCUCCAAAUGAAGCAACAAACUGAAGUACCUGUGACCAUUUGAAAUGUUUAAGUAACCAAAUGUUUAAUCAUAUAUUUAUUCUUAUUUAUUAUGGUUUUAUUUAUUUAUUUAUAUCUAUCAGAGAGAAGUUGUUAAAUGUUUUCCUGAUGUUUGUGUGUUCCAAACUUGUGUGAUCAGAGGACUGAUAUUAAAAAUUUAGUGAUGUCUACAAUCUCAACACUGAGCUUAUCAUAAAUAAAGUCUUUUUGCACUGAUUAAUAA
ensembl:lncRNA